AGGAAGCAGACACUAGGCUACUGCUGCAUGCGAAACAUGCAUCGCAUGACCACAAAAGGAUCAUCAUCCAAUCCCCAGACACAGAUGUAGCUGUACUGUGUGCCACUCACUUCAACAGUCUCGCCUGCCAACAACUAUGGUUCCGCACUGGGGUUAAGGACAAGCUGAGGUACAUCCCCAUGCACAAUUUGGCUGCCGAGUUGGGUCCACAGCUCUGUGAUGCAUUGCCAGCAUUCCAUGCACUGACCGGAUGCGACACU